AACUACCAGUUGAUACUCAAGAUUUCAAAGAUAACACUGAAGAAACACUGGCCACAAUGUAUGUUCACAUAAUUUUCUUCUUCAGUUGAAGUAAUAAACUGUGCCAGUUAUAAUCAAAGGAAUGUUUUAUCUUGUACAGAUACCCAAUACAGAACGUGUAAGAUUAGGGAAUGUGAAUCUGCAACAAUGAAUUUAUCCAUCAGCAGGCUGCAUUCUUUCAGAUAUCCAGUGUAUUUCCCACAAAUUGACCUGGCUAAGGUACAAAAUAAAGGUAUACAAACAAGUAUUUCUUAAUGUAUAAAA